AUACGUAGGGUGCGAGCGUUGUCCGGAAUGAUUGGGCGUAAAGGGCGCGUAGGCGGCCCGGUAAGUCUGGAGUGAAAGUCCUGUUUUUAAGAUGGGAAUUGCUUUGGAUACUGUCGGGCUUGAGUGCAGGAGAGGUAAGUGGAAUUCCCAGUGUAGCGGUGAAAUGCGUAGAGAUUGGGAGGAACACCAGUGGCGAAGGCGACUUACUGGACUGUAACUGACGCUGAGGCGCGAAAGUGUGGGGAGCAAACAGGAUUAGAUACCCUGGUAGUCCACACUGUAAAUGAUGAAUGCUAGGUGUAGGGGGUAUCGACCCCUUCUGUGCCGCAGUCAACACAAUAAGCAUUCCGCCUGGGGAGUACGGCCGCAAGGUUGAAACUUAAAGGAAUUGACGGGG
rnacentral:rRNA from 1 species